UUCCCCAUAAUUCCCCAUAAUCUUUUCUCUUUCAAACGAUUGAGACCCUUCAUUUCAUUAGCUACUUUCUCUUUCAGACAAGAUGAAGGCUUUGAAGGAACAGCGAUGCGAGCGAGAGCCUCCUGUUGACGUUGACGUUGACGAUGACGACUUUGCUGGACUCGCUUGCCCUCUCGACGACCUUGAAGCUGCCGUCAUCCUUGAAAGUGAAACCACGACUUUCGAUCCCUUCUUGUUCGACAACGUCAAACUUGAUGACCACAACAUGGCAAUUCAAGAGAACCCCAAGAAACCACCAUCCCACGGCAAAGGGAAGAAGUUGGAGACCCUCCGCUUGGUGCUAUGCACACCACCUCCAUCUUCUUGUCAACAAAACCCUACGGGGCCAACAAAAUCUGAUGCUCACCAUCAACGGCAACACUGGGAUGAUGAAGAGAAAUUGGAGAAUAGCAAGCGAAAGCUUCACCAAGGCUAUCAGGAGUUCCAAAGCAAGAGAAAGAAAAUUCAACUUCUUGACGUCAAGAACUUGCCUUUGCCGUCUAAGCCUCAGCGAGGCCGGGUUUUGAGCGAGAACAAGCAGUUGAUCAGUUUGAGGAAGUGCCCAGAGCCUUCUGAUUUUUCGGAGAGCCAACAAAACCCUAAGGGGCUCACAAAAUCUACUGAUCAUGAUCUUCAUCAUCGGCAAGAUUGGGAUGAUGAAGAGAAGUUGGAGACUAGUGUUCAAAAGCUUCACCAAGGCUAUCAAGAGUUCCAAAACAAGCGAAAGAAAAUUCAAAUUAUUGACAUCAAGAACUUGCCUUUGCCGUCUAAGCCAGGACGAGGUCGGGUUUUGACAAAGAACAAGUUUCUGACUAGCUCCAGGAAGUGCCGAGCCUUCUGAUUUCUUGGAUAUCAGAUCCUCUCUAUCUCUCCGAUUUCUUAACCACAAAAUGAUUAUAAGUACGUGGGGUUUUGUGACAGCAAUGCCAACCAAUAUUCCUAGUGCUUUGAUAGACAAGGGUCAGAGCCGAGUUAUAGAUGUUCCUAGUGCUAAAGGUGACCAAAGAUGACUAUUCAGUCAUUUUUCAUGACAACUUCAUUGGGGACGAGGACAAGGGAGGCAGAGUGGCUCAUGUACAGUAUGCAAAUGAACAUGGUCUCAUGGAGUGUGAAGCCUUUGAUUCAAGAUAUUUGGCAGUUAGCCUCCUUGUGUGAUUCCGUCCAGUUUAGCCAUGUGUUUAGUGAAGCUAAUUUCUUAGCUGAUGCUCUAGCAAACUUAGGCCAUGGGAUCUCCUUCUCAUCUUUGAGAAUUUGGCCUCCCUUUUUCUGUCGCCUCUGCUUUUUAUUUCAACCUCUUUGGGCUUGCGUGCUCUAGAGGUUUUAGUUUGUAAUUUUACGUUGUAACAUU